UAUGGGGUGGAGUAGAGGCAUCUCAUUAGGCUCAUGACCUAAAGGUCGCAGGUUCGACUCCUGCCCCCGUUG
rfam:Candidatus Hodgkinia cicadicola Dsem, complete genome.